UCUAGUGUUGAUACUCAAUUGGAAACACUUCAAUCCUUUUCGAAUUUGAAAGUUCAACAAUUGAGAGGUUUCUCUACUGCAAGGGUCGCUUUGUGGGAAAAAAACCUAAUGCUAGAAG
rnacentral:rRNA from 1 species